rnacentral:lncRNA from 1 species
AGGCUUGUUCUCCUACCCCUUUUAUUUUUGUUAGUGUUUUUAGAUUUAUUUUUUUCAUCUACUCCCACGUAGAGCAUAUUUAAAGCUCUUUUAGGUGAAAAAAACUGAAUAAUGAAAAAAAACAUUUGGUGCCCAUGAUGUUCUACAGAAGGGAAUCCCGCAGUGUAUUUGUGGUUCAUUCUAAACACAGCAGCAUCUUUGGCAUAAGGGCAGUCCCUUUUACCCAACUGUGGGCCAAGCCAAUAAAUGGGGGAAAUGCAACAAUUAAUUUUGACCAGUCGGCUAAUCAGACCACCUCUGAACUUUGGAUUGCAAGAUGCAGUGGAUCAUCUGUGAAAAAGCAUUAUGUUCCUUUACAGAGAUAAUGUUUCAUAUCCGUGUUAACUUUUGGCAGCUCUUCAACUUCGUGUAAAGAUAAUUAAAUGAUGCUGUGUUCAUGUUCCUCUUUAAUGUAUACUCACUGUGUUAAGGAAGAUGAGAUUUGGUGUGAGACCUAUCUACCCAGCUUCCUCCACUUUCCCCGUCAUGCUUUUUGAGCAUUUCAAUAACUCUGUUGAUCCACAGUGAACAUUAUUGUAAAUCAUUUCAUUCAAAAAGCACUUUGAAAAUUGUUCCUAAGGGAUUAAAUGAAAUGGUUUAUGACAAUUUUGCCAAGGAAGAAAAAAAAAAAAAAAANAAAAAAAAAGACACAAAAGCAAAAGCAUAUAGCUUUUUAUAGUCAAUAUUCUCCAGUAUCUGGUGUACUUUACUUUUUUAGUUGUGGUAUUUCUGGAAAUACCAGCACCUGCUUCAGGUGACAUUCCCGUCAUGACAUUCCGGAAAAAGGCCUCAUUAAUUUGUAUUGUUCAGUGUCACAGAAGGAUCUGAAUACCACCUGUAUGUUAUCCAUGGACAAUGAAAGAAAAUUUGCUGGUGCAAAAGACAGAAGUGGCAAACGAUGGUAUACUUACCUCAGGUUUACUGGACAAGAUAAAAAUGGUUCCCAUUUUCACAAUACCUCACAACAUGACAGUUACUUAUUCCCUGCUGAAAGCCUCAGCAGAGCUAUCGGUGCAGGUGUCUGCUUAGGGCUUGUGCUUUGGUCAGCGGAACACAGUUGCACUGGCUGCGUUGGGGAAAAAAUUGCAGCAAGCAGGGGCCUUGGCUCCCUUACGGUUUUUCAUAGUGGAAAAAAUGCAUUGGUCCAAGGGCAUAUCCAGGAGCAGCUCUCAUGCCUCCAGACCCUAAUCCUGGACACGUGGAUGAUGUAUAUGGUGACUACACCUCCCCUCGAGGUGCCCACACAUGCACAGGUACUGUGUGGCUCCCACAAGCUAUUAGGUGGGCAGCAGGACAGCAGCCAGGAUGGCCGCUCUCAGAGUCUUGCUGUUCAGAAUGACCAGCUCUGCCUCACAGCCCAUGUGAACAACCUGGCCCAGCUGCCUACUGUGCCUCAGCGGUCAGGUGUCAGCUCUUUCCCUACCUUCUCUGAGUCCUGAGCCAUAGUGCUCAAAACUGCUGCUCUGUGUGCAGAAGUAUCCGUCUGGUAAAGUGCCAACAAUCACUGAUCCUUGUGAGACUUGAGGGCUCAAUUGCUCUUCCCCCAGGUGGCUUCAGGGCCACAGCAGCUAUACAAAGGAGCAUUACACCUCACAGCUUGCCCGAGCAGGUUUCAAGCAGCUGUGUUGCUGGAAAAUGGUAACUGGAUGGCUUUGUUCUGACAGUGGCUUUUCACACUGAAAGCACAUAAAAUUCAGCAACUGCAUCACGUUUAAAUGAAAUAUAGUUAAUUUUUGGAAGCAUUGUGAUUAGCAAGACUCCAGAGCCACAUGCAGCACACUCAUGAGGUAAUAUUCCCUGAGAGAUCAGAUAACUUUCUGGAGGCUUUUGCAUGCGCAAGUUUUUAUGCUAAUGAUAAUGGAGAAGCAUGAAGACUGUGGGCAAAACGUUGCCUGUGCUUGGUAUUAGUAUGGCUUCAUAUAGAAAGCAUGGGCAUAUGCGUGGGCUCUGCUCCUCUCAGUUGUGCCAGGUAGCAUGGCUGAGUAUAGAGAGGAGAAGUAGCUGUGAGAACUGCCUUGCUCUUGAGAAUUACAGGAAGUUUUCUGCCAUCUUUAAAUGGCCAUCAGGAUGUUGGCUGCUAGGCCCUCUGGAAACACAACCAAGUCAGUGGACUGAGGUGCUCGCUAUUUUGCCCUGACAGGUUUACUUGGGAGCAGGGGAUGAAGGGCUGGCCCUCUGUUCUGCAGUGUCCAUGUCCACCACGUGGCUCCCCAUUGAGGCUUCUCUCUGCUGUGUCACCCCAUGCAUGGGCUGUACAUUCACAGUUUCAUAGAUUUCACUAGAAAUACGUAAGUGUUGUGGCUCUCACACCUCACUGCAGCUGCAGGGGCAAGUAGUAGGCAAAAGAGCUGGUUUGGAAGUGGCAGCAUCAUUGUGUAACAGAGACUUGUCCACUGCAGAGCGGGCUUAUGCAACCUUUGUGAGUGCUGGGAGCAUCAUCCACUGCAGUGGCGUUCUUUAAAAGUAUAUGACAUUCUUGUAAAGAACAUGAAUAGUCUCACAGUAGCAUUCAUAACAAAAAUACUCCAUAGUGCCCCUUUUAGAAGAUGUUAAAAAAAUAUUAUUGCAAAUGAGAUGUAAGAUUUUUUCCCUGAAUUGCAGAUACCAUGAAAGUUUCCUGUGGGUUAAUUAAUAAAAAACAAACUACUGCUGAUGUGCCA